GUGUAUACUUUUUCCCUAUAUACUAAAAUUGGAGCGAUAUAGAUAAGAUGGGCAUGGCCGCUGGGUAAGGAUGGCAUACAAAUUUGGGAAGUGUUCCAAAAUUUU